rnacentral:rRNA from 1 species
UAGGGAAUCUUCGGCAAUGGACGAAAGUCUGACCGAGCAACGCCGCGUGAGUGAAGAAGGCUUUCGGAUCGUAAAACUCUGUUGUUAGAGAAGAACAAGGACGUUAGUAACUGAACGUCCCCUGACGGUAUCUAACCAGAAAGCCACGGCUAACUACGUGCCAGCAGCCGCGGUAAUACGUAGGUGGCAAGCGUUGUCCGGAUUUAUUGGGCGUAAAGCGAGCGCAGGCGGUUUCUUAAGUCUGAUGUGAAAGCCCCCGGCUCAACCGGUGAGUGUCAUUGGGUACUGGGAGACUUGAGUGCAGAAGAGGAGGGUGGAAUUCCAUGUGUAGCGGUGAAAUGCGUAGAUAUAUGGAGAAACACCAGUGGCGAAGGCGGCUCUCUGGUCUGUAACUGACGCUGAGGCUCGAAAGCGUGGGGAGCAAACAGG